rnacentral:rRNA from 1 species
CCCUAAAAAACCGAAAUCUCAGUUCGGAUUGAAGGCUGAAAUUGCCUUCAUGAAGCUGGAAUUGCUAGUAAUGGCAGGUCAGCAUACUGCCGUGAAUACGUUCCCGGGCCUUGUACACACCGCCCGUCACACCAUGAGAGUUGGGAAUACCCGAAGCCUGUGAGCUAACUUUUAGAGGCAGCAGUCGAAGGUAGAAUCAAUGAUUGGGGUGAAGUCGUAACAAGGUAAC